UGUCCAUUGGCCCGGCAAAACGGGCAUAGGUUCUUUCAUGCUCCAGAUAGGGAAGUUCGAUUCUUCCGUGGUUCA
rnacentral:tRNA from 1 species